rnacentral:rRNA from 1 species
CGUGUAGGCGGGAAGGAAAGUCAGAUGUGAAAUCCCCAGGCUCAACCUGGGAACUGCAUUUGAAACUCCCUUUCUUGAGUACCGGAGAGGAAAGUGGAAUUCCUGGUGUAGAGGCGAAAUUCGUAGAUAUCAGGAGGAACACCAGUGGCGAAGGCGGCUUUCUGGACGGUAACUGACGCUGAGACGCGAAAGCGUGGGGAGAAC